rnacentral:rRNA from 1 species
AAAGGUGAAAAGGACCCCGGGAGGGGAGUGAAAUAGAACCUGAAACCGCAUGCAUACAAACAGUAGGAGCCUCGUCAGAGGUGACUGCGUACCUUUUGCAUAAUGGGUCAGCGACUUACAUUCUGUGGCGCGCUUAACCGAAUAGGGGAGGCGCAGCGAAAGCGAGUUCGAAAUGAGCGUUCAGUCGCAGGGUGUAGACCCGAAACCAGAUGAGCUAUCCAUGGCCAGGUUGAAGGUGUGGUAACACACACUGGAGGACCGAACCGACCGGUGGUGCAAAACCGGCGGAUGAGCUGUGGUUAGGGGUGAAAGGCUUAACAAAUCUGGAGAUAGCUGGUUCUCCCCGAAAACUAUUGAGGUAGUGCCUCGUGUGUCGCUCCAGGGGGUAGAGCACUGUUUUGGCUAGGGGGACAUGGAGUCUUACCAAACCAAGGCAAACUCCGAAUACCUGGAAGCGUGAGCACGGGAGACAGAGCACCGGGUGCUAACGUCCGGACUCAAAAGGGAAACAACCCAGACCGCCGGCUAAGGUCCCAAAUAACAGCUAAGUGGAAAACGAAGUGGAAAGGCCGUGACAACCAGGAAGUUGGCUUAGAAGCAGCCAUCCUUCAAAGAAAGCGUAAUAGCUCACUGGUCGAGUCCUUCUGCGCGGAAGAUGUAACGGGGCUAAGCUGUUAACCGAAGCCGCGGAUGCGCUGGUUAUCCAGUGCGUGGUAGGGGAGCGUUCUGUAAGUCUGCGAAGGCGGUUCGAGAGGACUGCUGGAGAUAUCAGAAGUGCGAAUGCUGACAUGAGUAACGUUAAAGCAGGUGAAAAGCCUGCUCGCCGUAAGCCCAAGGAUUCCUGCUCUACGUUCAUCGGAGCAGGGUGAGUCGGCUCCUAAGGUCAGGCCGAAAGGCGUAGCCGAUGGGAAUCAGGUUAAUAUUCCUGAACCUGCGUCAGAUGCGAUGGGGGGACGGAGCAUGGAAGAUCAUCCGGGUGUUGGAAGUCCCGGUUGUUGAGCGUAGGAGGUCUGCAGGCAAAUCCGCAGACGCAUCUCCGAGGCAAAGACACGUGCCGCCACGGCGGCGAAGUGAUCGGAAGUGCUUCCAAGAAAAGCCUCUAAGCACCAGUCUGAUGCGGACCGUACCGCAAACCGACACUGGUGGGCGAGCUGAAUAUGCUCAGGCGCUUGAGAGAACUCGGGAGAAGGAACUCGGCAAAUUGACACCGUAACUUCGGAAGAAGGUGUGCCGUAGUACCGUGAGAGGAGAGACACCUUGAGCGGGAAACGGUCUCAGAGAAUAGGUGGCUGCGACUGUUUAUUAAAAACACAGCACUCUGCAAAGUCGAAAGACGACGUAUAGGGUGUGAUGCCUGCCCGGUGCUGGAAGAUUAAUUGAUGGGGUGAGAGCCCUUGAUCGAAGUCCCAGUAAACGGCGGCCGUAACUAUAACGGUCCUAAGGUAGCGAAAUUCCUUGUCGGGUAAGUUCCGACCUGCACGA